CUUGAGGCAGCCCUCUCCCUUUCGUCUCUCCCGUUCCUCCUUGUUCGCAGUUCUGGAGGCACUUGGCGAAGCUCUGCUCGCACUGCUCUACCACCAUCUCCACCAUCCCAUCAUGCUGGUUGAGAUCCCAUCUACUUCUCCGCCCUCGCUUGCUGGAUCAAGGAGGCGGAGACGUCAUCGAGCCGCGUGUGUGUUGAACACGGAGGUGUCGUCCGUUUGGCGCUAGAUCGAGACGGGUCGCAAUUGGAUCGUGAAGACGUACGACUACAUCAACCACGUUAUAUACGCUUCCACUUACUGAUCUACAAGGGUAUGUAGAUGCACUCCCCCUCUUGUAGAUGUUGAUCUCCAUAGAUUGUUCUUGGUGAGCGUAGGAAAUUUUUUGUUUAUCAUGCGACGUUCCGCAACACUUGCUACCUUGCUCUCUUUAAUGGCUCCAUGACAUCGACCGAUGUUGGACCGCUACAUGCCUUACCCGACAUGGACUUCCAUAUGUCGCCGUGUGUGUGACAUGUGCAACCAGGAGAUGGAAACUAUGCAGCACAUCCUCUUUGGUUUUGUAGUUUCCUGCAUGACUCGCACGGCAUGUUCUCCUGGUGCCGCCUCACCAUUCUACCGCCUGACCGUUGCGUCAACUUCUACUAGUGGUGGAAGAUGGCUCUGCAAGACUCACCUACGGGCCAUCGCAAUGGCCUUGCAUCACUAAUUGCGCUCACUGCCUAGACCAUAAUGCAUCUUGGACGCCCACACCGUCACACGCCUUGUUGGUUCAUGACAUCCAAGAGGAAGAUCGCACUUGGGCCAAGGCCGGUGCACGAGGGCUUUUUACAAUCCUUCCUGUAGACCGGUAGCUAUCAGAAUAUAAGACGUUGUUUGACUAGGAGUAUCUUGUAAGGGGCUGAGCAAUCCCCUUUAAAUGAUCAUCUCUACCUUGUAUGUGCCUUGUAGCAUGCGCAUUACGAGGCUCACAAUUCUACUUUAAACACCACUACAUAGCGGCGCCGCAUAUGUUUCUU
rnacentral:lncRNA from 1 species